AAUAGAUACCCAGGUAGUCCACGCCCUAAACGAUGUCUACUAGUUGUCGGGUCUUAAUUGACUUGGUAACGCAGCUAACGCGUGAAGUAGACCGCCUGGGGAGUACGGUCGCAAGAUUAAAACUCAAAGGAAUUGACGGGGACCCGCACAAGCGGUGGAUGAUGUGGAUUAAUUCGAUGCAACGCGAAAAACCUUACCUACCCUUGACAUGUCAGGAACCUCUGAGAGAUUAGAGGGUGCCCGAAAGGGAGCCUGAACACAGGUGCUGCAUGGCUGUCGUCAGCUCGUGUCGUGAGAUGUUGGGUUAAGUCCCGCAACGAGCGCAACCCUUGUCAUUAGUUGCUACGAAAGGGCACUCUAAUGAGACUGCCGGUGACAAACCGGAGGAAGGUGGGGAUGACGUCAAGUCCUCAUGGCCCUUAUGGGUAGGGCUUCACACGUCAUACAAUAGUACAUACAGAGGGCUGCCAACCCGCGAGGGGGAGCUAAUCCCAGAAAGUGUAUCGUAGUCCGGAUUGUAGUCUGCAACUCGACUA
rnacentral:rRNA from 1 species